GGAUUUCACCAUCUUGGUCAGGCUGGUCUUGAACUCCUGAUCUUGUGAUCCACCCACCUCGGCCUCCCAAAGUGCUGGAAUUACAGGCAUGAGCCACCACACCCAGACAAAUAUCACUACAUUUUAAACUCAAGAACCCAGCACACAAAACAACAGUGUGCAAGGAUCGAUCUGGCCUGAGCAGAUGGAACCAGGGAACCAGCAGCAGCAUGUCAGGGCAUCAGCUGUCAGGGAGCUGAGGGCCGCUCUGCAGAGGGAGGCAUCUCCCAAGGCCAGGGAGGCGGAUGCAGACUUCAUAUAUGUAAUUCUAUAUGCCAAGAUUCUAUCCUAAAAACUAAAUUUCAUAUAAAGAUCUAAAUAAAAAUUAUUAAAAGGAAAAUUUAAAAAAAACUAUAAUUAUGUCAGCCAAGAACAUAAGAGAAUUUUAAACACAAUUUUGAACAGAGAAUGCCUUUUUAUUUUUUACUUUUUUUUUUUUUGGAGACGGAGUCUCGCUCUGUCGCAGUAGAGACGGGGUUUCAUCACGUUGGCCGGGCUGGUCAAACUCCUGACCUCAGGUGAUCUGCCCGCCUCGGCCUCCCAGAGUGCUGGGAUUACAGGUGUCAGCCAUGGCGCCCAGCCGGGAAUCCCCGUUUUUUUUUGACAUGGAGUCUCACUCAGCUGCCGAGGCUGGAGUGCAGUGGUGAGAUCUUGGCUCACUGCGACCAUCAUCUCCCAGGUCCAAGCGAUUCUCCCGUCUCAGCCUCCCGUGUAGCUGGGAUUACAGGCACCGGCCACCAUGCCUGGCUAAUUGUUGUAUUUUUAGUAGAGACGGGGUUUCACCAUGUUGGCUAGGCUAGUCUUG
rnacentral:lncRNA from 1 species